UGGGGCAUAUUGGACAAUGGGCGAAAGCCUGAUCCAGCCAUGCCGCGUGUGUGAAGAAGGCCUUUUGGUUGUAAAGCACUUUAAGCAGUGAAGAAGACUCCAUGGUUAAUACCCAUGGACGAUGACAUUAGCUGCAGAAUAAGCACCGGCUAACUCUGUGCCAGCAGCCGCGGUAAUACAGAGGGUGCAAGCGUUAAUCGGAAUUACUGGGCGUAAAGCGAGCGUAGGUGGCUUGAUAAGUCAGAUGUGAAAGCCCCGGGCUUAACCUGUGAACGGCAUCUGAUACUGUUAGGCUAGAGUAGGUGAGAGAAAGGUAGAAUUCCAGGUGUAGCGGUGAAAUGCGUAGAGAUCUGGAGGAAUACCGAUGGCGAAGGCAGCCUUCUGGCAUCAUACUGACACUGAGGUUCGAAAGCGUGGGUAGCAAACA
rnacentral:rRNA from 1 species